rnacentral:lncRNA from 1 species
AGUUUUUCAAAGGGCCUUCACGUUAUCAAAAAUUAAAGCCUCACCCUGCCCCAUCAGCCUUGGAUCCACGAUUGUAUUAUUCCUAAAUAUAUAUGAAUAAGUUAAUUUAACGGAUCAAAAUUAAUAAUAACAUGGUAACAAGAACACUUGCCAGGAACAAGGCUUCAAUAAUGUCAGCUAAAAAAAGCCACAAAAUGAUAUCGAAAACGGUGGUAUCUGUAAAUGAUACAGUAGUAUAUUACUUUUAUCAUAUUUAUUGUUUUAGGCUCAGUUUUGUCGCAAAACCUAUAUUGAAGGGUUCUUGAAUGACGAUCAAUUAAGAUGUUUUUCCAAGAAAGGAAAGAACUCUAGAAUCAAUUGGUCAAGUCCAACAGUUAAAAAAAGUACUAAAAUUAGGAUUUGCUUGUGGUUCGUCAGGGUAUGAAUCUCUUCUUGAUCAAUGAUUUCCUUUACCCUCGCUGAGGAUACUUCCCAGGAAAACCUUUAGGCAUUUCAUUUGAAAGCGGUAUUUUGAAUGAUGUUUUUGACGUUUAAAAUAACGACCUUCAGUGAAAAAGACAAAAAUUGUGUACUAUUGAUGGCAGAAAUGAUCAUCAAAAAGUCUAAAGACUAUGAUCAACGGCUAGACUGUCUAAUGGGGCAAGAUACUCUUCCAGAACACACAGACGAAUAUGCGACACAUAUUCUUGUGAUCAUAUUCGCUGGAAUUGCAAGUAGAUGGAAGCAUGUUGUUUGUUAUUUCUUUACUCCAGAUUCAAUUAAUGGGUCUGUAUGUGAAAAAUUACAAAGGAUGUCGUCAAUAGAGCUUCUGAAAUUGGUCUACGUGUAAGAUCAAUUACCACAGAUAUGGGCCCAUCAAACCAGGCAAUGUUCCUUUGGAAGGGAGUUAAUUUUGGAAGAAAAAAUGAAAUUGUCAACUGUGCCCCUCAUCCAGCAAAUCCAAAAGAAAAUUUAUACUUUCUUUAUGAUGUUCCUCAUCUUCUAAAAAAUCUUCGAACAUCUUAAGUAAGCAAUAUUGAAAUUAUUUUGCCAUCAUUUUUUGGGGAAGAAAGACAUUUAUCAAACCAUAUUGUUUCUGUAAAACAAAUACAAAAACUGGUAGAGUUAGAAAAAGUUCAGGAAUUGAAAAUUGUUCUAAAGCUGUCUAAAAGUGUCAUAAGCCCCAGCCACUUUUCAAAAAUGAAUGUUGCUGAUGCAAUGACUUUUUUCCCCCAUGCAACAAGUGCGGGCAUGAGAUAUUCUACAAUCCAGGAGUCUGAUGGGUCAAUCUUAUUAAUGGCAGAAUUUAUCGAUCUGAUUCGUUCCUGGUUCGAACUCAUUACCUCUCGAUCACCGAUGAUGGUUUUAAGUAAUCAAAAUCUUGACAAAUAUAAUGAAGCUAUUCAGAUUUUAAAAAAGGUAAUCGAAGUCAUUCGUCAAUUUCAUGUAGGAAAAAAAGUUAUUGGAAGCCAUGGCAGACUGGUAUAAUUUUGUCGACAACUUCCAUCCUUCAGUUGCAUAAGGAACUCCUUGAUGAAGGAUUUUCAUUCAUUUUAACUGGAAGAUUUACUCAAGAUGCUGUUGAAUUUUUUUUCAGCCUUAUUAGGUACAAGAGCCCAACUCAAACAUCAUGAGAGGCUCAAAAUAAUCUAAUAUUUGCUUUAAGUCAGUUGAUGAAGGAAAAAGGAUCUUCCAAUUAUCAAUAUGAUGAUGGCGAAUAUCUAAUCGAUUUCUUAGAUGAUUUAAAA